rnacentral:lncRNA from 10 species
AAAAAAGUGACUACUAUCUAGUUGCCAACCAUUUUAAUAUUAUUUGUAUUCUGUGCUAUUUCCAGGUGUGUAUGUCCCUUUUGUCAGAGGGAACUGUAUGAAGACAGCUUGCUGGAUCAUUGUAUUACUCAUCACAGAUCGGAACGGAGGCCUGUGGCUGGUGUGCAAUGGCAAGAUCUCGGCUCACUGAAACCUCCGCCUCCCAGAUUAAAGUGAUUCUCCUGCCUCAGCCUCCUGAGUGGCUGGCAUUACAGGCAUCUGCC